rnacentral:lncRNA from 1 species
UGAAAGGCUGAAAAUAAUUCAAGUGUAUGAGAAUAAAAACUAAGAAGAAAGCAGCGCCUGUAUACUGAUGCUGUGCGCGGCCGGAGUAGCAAGUAAUUCACCAUAUCGAUCGCGACCGCCUUGGCCAAUGCAACAGAGAGCAUAAAGUCAAAGUUCACGGCAGGCAGCUAUAUAGACUGUAGUAGUAGGAGUAUAGAUGUGCGCGGAAUUGAUCAAAUCAUUUUUGUAAUGUCGGAUAAGGUUGGAUGCCAAAAUUUAUUCAGCCGAUCAUCCAAGGUGUGCCGAUAGGGACGUACGCACUAGCCAUUUUGAAAAUUAGGUGCACAAGCAUAACAGAGUCAUCGUUUUCUUUUCUUUUUUUUGCAUUGGUAUAUACCUCCUCC